UAUCCUUUUACUUUGCAUGUAGAAAGAUUGAACUCAAACUUAGGCCUUUAAUGGUUUAGACUCUUGAUGUAUUGAAAAUUUAAGUGCUCAUCAUAACCCUGUUGAUUCAAUUACCUCAAUAUUUAACUAUCAUUUGUAUUCUUAACCAGUUUAUACAUUCUAAAUAUAUUUAAUUGUGCCUUGGUUAAAUUGUAGUUGCUAAAAUGUAAUUUGAAAUGUUAACAAUUACUGUGAUGUGAAUACAAGUUGUACUUAAAGGAUUUCCCCUCUUCUUUGUUUUUUCAAUUUCUUUGUAACUGUUUUUUAGUAACGUCUUUUGAAUAAAUUAAACAACAUAAAUUAUACUAAUUAUUAUUACUGUGUUCACUCUGUCCAAUCAUCAGAUGGAUUAUGUUUUGUUGAUUACGAAUUCUCAUGUUAAUUAUUUAUAAAGGAUGAUUCCUUGUGGAGGUAAUUUGAUUCCAUCAGUUGUAAACAAGAAAAAAGGAGAAGCGGUGGAAAAUAAUCAACCAAUCCGAUUUGUUCUGUUGAUCAGUUGGCUCCUGUGGGAUUUCAGGGAAAAGGAAUACAUUUAUUGAGAUGACAGAUUAAAAAUUAAUGUCCAUACAAUAACCUUGCCCGAAUUGCAUGGGUUUAUAAUGCUGCCAAGAUUUUUUCCUGUUCAUCUGUUCGCCUUUUGAUUGGUAUCCACCAGGUAGGAUUAUUUAUAUCAUUUGAUGAUGCGGAUGACCGUAGGUUGACCAUGGUUGGCUUUUAAGGUGAAGGUUCUUUAUGAAAAAUUGUACAACCAUUAACCUGAUCUCAAAGGUUCCUCUUCAAUCAAAAUCACCUUUUAUCAAAAUCGAAUUUUUGUUUCCAUUUAAUGAUUAAAUGAAGAUGAUUAUGAUGACAAUGAUGGCUGGUUUCUUUUUUUUCGUGACACAAGAUGGGAUUGAAUGUGAUUUUUUGUGUGAAUCAAUAUAAAAUGAAAGCAGUUACGCCUUAAUUCUUGUUUCUCUUGGUUUAAAAGUUGUUAAUCUAAUAUUCAUUUUCUUUGUUUCUAUUACUAAUACUUGCAUCAUGAAAUUAAUUUAGAUAGACUAGACAAACCAAUGAAACAACUUUUGCCUAAACACUUAUGAACAAAAUUGAAGCAAGUUAUGUACGAGGUAAACAAAUUGUCCCUAAGCAAGUUUUUGUCAGAUAAUUUAUUCGGAAGAUUUGUUGGUUCUUUUUUUAAUCAACCCUCUUGAUGUUGACAAAGCUGAAGAUACAAUCUGGAAUCAUAUUGAUCAUCACUGAUUUCGUUAAGCAAUUUUCAUUUAAUGAUUUAUUUUCAAGUUUUGUUUCUGAUUUUUCCACGUUAUUCAUAUUGCUUUGGGUUGAUGUAGCAAAUGAACUUUCCUUGAAAGAUCUUUUGUUAGCCUCCCUUUAAUUAGUAUCCACCUUUUUUCAAUUAAUUUCUGUGACAAUUUAGAUUCAUGAUGGCAAUUUGAUAUUUCAAUGAUUGAUUAAUAAAAGUUACCAGAUAAAAUCUAAAAAACAGUACUGAAAUCU